rnacentral:rRNA from 1 species
CCGGCGCACGGUGAGUAACACGUAUGCAAUCCACCUGUAACAGGGGGAUAACCCGGAGAAAUCCGGACUAAUACCCCAUAAUAUGGGCGCUCCGCAUGGAGAGCCCAUUAAAGAGAGCAAUUUUGGUUACAGACGAGCAUGCGCUCCAUUAGCCAGUUGGCGGGGUAACGGCCCACCAAAGCGACGAUGGAUAGGGGUUCUGAGGGGAAGGUCCCCCACAUUGGAACUGAGACACGGUCCAA